rnacentral:rRNA from 1 species
UCAUAUGUACAUGCCUACAAUGUUAAUGCACUGGAUCGCAUUAGAACUUUGAAGUUAAGCAUGGUUGGGCUAGAGUAGUAUUGGGAUGGGUGACCUUCUUGGAAGUCCUAGUGUUUUACAUGCC